rfam:Asian citrus Psyllid, Diaphorina citri - Florida Strain, whole genome shotgun sequence.
GCCAGCAGCGAUAGCUCGUUGAAUGAACCAGUUUCCAGUGGAUCACUAAAGUUAAGCAAAGUUGAGCGUGGUUAGAGUCCAGACGGGUGACCAUCUGGGCCAUUACGUGCUGCUUUCC